UUGCACUGUCUUUGAACCUUGGCGGCCCCACUAAUGGCUUCCCAGGCCAAGCUACAGUGCUAAAGCAGCUUCAGGCUUGUUCAUAACUGGGGCCUCCUGGUAAAACCUCCCAGGUAGCUCUUUUAAAAGCAAGUCACAUGC